rnacentral:rRNA from 1 species
CGGAACGUGCCCGAUCGUGGGGGAUAACGCAGCGAAAGCUGUGCUAAUACCGCAUACGAUCUACGGAUGAAAGCGGGGGAUCGCAAGACCUCGCGCGGACGGAGCGGCCGAUGGCAGAUUAGGUAGUUGGUGGGGUAAAGGCCUACCAAGCCGACGAUCUGUAGCUGGUCUGAGAGGACGACCAGCCACACUGGGACUGAGACACGGCCCAGACUCCUACGGGAGGCAGCAGUGGGGAAUUUUGGACAAUGGGCGCAAGCCUGAUCCAGCCAUGCCGCGUGCAGGAUGAAGGCCUUCGGGUUGUAAACUGCUUUUGUACGGAACGAAAAGGUUUCUUUUAAUACAGGGAACUGAUGACGGUACCGUAAGAAUAAGCACCGGCUAACUACGUGCCAGCAGCCGCGGUAAUACGUAGGGUGCGAGCGUUAAUCGGAAUUACUGGGCGUAAAGCGUGCGCAGGCGGUGAUGUAAGACAGAGGUGAAAUCCCCGGGCUCAACCUGGGAACUGCCUUUGUGACUGCAUCGCUGGAGUGCGGCAGAGGGGGAUGGAAUUCCGCGU